UGGGGAAUUUUGGACAAUGGGCGAAAGCCUGAUCCAGCCAUGCCGCGUGAGUGAAGAAGGCCUUCGGGUUGUAAAGCUCUUUUAGUCGGAAAGAAAGAGUUGCAAUGAAUAAUUGUGAUUUAUGACGGUACCGACAGAAAAAGCACCGGCUAACUACGUGCCAGCAGCCGCGGUAAUACGUAGGGUGCGAGCGUUAAUCGGAAUUACUGGGCGUAAAGGGUGCGCAGGCGGCCUUGCAAGUCAGAUGUGAAAGCCCCGGGCUUAACCUGGGAAUUGCGUUUGAAACUACAAGACUAGAGUGCAGCAGAGGGGAGUGGAAUUCCAUGUGUAGCAGUGAAAUGCGUAGAGAUGUGGAAGAACACCGAUGGCGAAGGCAGCUCCCUGGGUUGACACUGACGCUCAUGCACGAAAGCGUGGGGAGCAAACA
rnacentral:rRNA from 1 species